rnacentral:rRNA from 1 species
CCUACGGGAGGCAGCAGUGAGGAAUAUUGGUCAAUGGACGAGAGCCUGAACCAGCCAAGUAGCGUGAAGGAUGACUGCCCUACGGGUUGUAAACUUCUUUUAUAUGGGAAUAAAAUGUUCCACGUGUGGGAUUUUGUAUGUACCAUAUGAAUAAGGAUCGGCUAACUCCGUGCCAGCAGCCGCGGUAAUACGGAGGAUCCGAGCGUUAUCCGGAUUUAUUGGGUUUAAAGGGAGCGUAGGUGGGUUGUUAAGUCAGUUGUGAAAGUUUGCGGCUCAACCGUAAAAUUGCAGUUGAUACUGGCAGUCUUGAGUACAGUAGAGGUGGGCGGAAUUCGUGGUGUAGCGGUGAAAUGCUUAGAUAUCACGAAGAACUCCGAUUGCGAAGGCAGCUCACUGGACUGCAACUGACACUGAGGCUCGAAAGUGUGGGUAUCAAACAGGAUUAGAUACCCUGGUAGUC